rnacentral:rRNA from 1 species
GAUGAACGCUGGCGGCGUGCCUAAUACAUGCAAGUCGAGCGAACAGAUGAGAAGCUUGCUUCUCUGACGUUAGCGGCGGACGGGUGAGUAACACGUGGGUAACCUACCUAUAAGACUGGGAUAACUCCGGGAAAUCGGGGCUAAUACCGGAUAAUAUUUUGAACCGCAUGGUUCAAUAGUGAAAGACGGUUUCGGCUGUCACUUAUAGAUGGAUCCGCGCCGUAUUAGCUAGUUGGUAAGGUAACGGCUUACCAAGGCGACGAUACGUAGCCGACCUGAGAGGGUGGUCGGCCACACUGGAACUGAGACACGGUCCAGACUCCUACGGGAGGCAGCAGUAGGGAAUCUUCCGCAAUGGGCGAAAGCCUGACGGAGCAACGCCGCGUGAGUGAUGAAGGUCUUCGGAUCGUAAAACUCUGUUGUUAGGGAAGAACAAAUUUGUUAGUAACUGAACAAGUCUUGACGGUACCUAACCAGAAAGCCACGGCUAACUACGUGCCAGCCGCCGCAGUAA